GAUGAACGCUGGCGGCGUGCCUAAUACAUGCAAGUCGAGCGAACGGACGAGAAUCUUGCUUUUCUGAUGUCAGCGGCGGACGGGUGAGUAACACGUGGAUAACCUACCUAUAAGACUGGGAUAACUUCGGGAAACCGGAGCUAAUACCGGAUAAUAUUUUGAACCGCAUGGUUCAAAAGUGAAAGACGGUCUUGCUGUCACUUAUAGAUUGAUCCGCGCUGCAUUAGCUAGUUGGUAAGGUAACGGCUUACCAAGGCAACGAUGCAUAGCCGACCUGAGAGGGUGAUCGGCCACACUGGAACUGAGACACGGUCCAGACUCCUACGAGAGGCAGCAGUAGGGAAUCUUCCGCAAUGGGCGAAAGCCUGACGGAGCAACGCCGCGUGAGUGAUGCAGGUCUUCGGAUCGUAAAACUCUGUUAUUAGGGAAGAACAUAUGUGUAAGUAACUGUGCACAUCUUGACGGUACCUAAUCAGAAAGCCACGGCUAACUACGUG
rnacentral:rRNA from 1 species